GAAAGUCUUUGCAAAAAUUCAGCAGCUAAAUCCAGAAUUCCAACUUGAUCCUAAUAUGUUAAGGUUCAGUGUUCGUUCGCCAGGAGAUGCUUCUUCUGCACCUGGUAACAAUCAAGGUGUCGAAAAUGAAGAAAGGGAAAGAGACAGUGAAGACAUUGAUCUUACUUGAGAAGAUCUUUUAUGAAGCUUUCUACAUGUUCUAAGAAUCUUUUUGCUAUCGAACAUUUUGAAACUUAUCCUAAAUCUUGAAAUGUAAAACUUAAUUAUGCAUUUUGGGUUGAACAUUUUGCUUUUACGGGUAU